rnacentral:rRNA from 1 species
GAUCAUGGCUCAGGAUGAACGCUAGCGACAGGCCUAACACAUGCAAGUCGAGGGGCAGCGGAGAGGUAGCAAUUACCUUUGCCGGCGACCGGCGCACGGGUGAGUAACACGUAUGCAAUCCACCUGUAACAGGGGGGAUAACCCGGAGAAAUCCGGACUAAUACCCCAUAAUAUGGGCGCUCCGCAUGGAGAGGCCCCAUUUAAAGAGAGCAAUUUUGGUUACAGACGAGCAUGCGCU